GACGAACGCUGGCGGCGUGCUUAACACAUGCAAGUCGAACGGAAAGGCCCUGCUUUUGUGGGGUGCUCGAGUGGCGAACGGGUGAGUAACACGUGAGUAACCUGCCCUUGACUUUGGGAUAACUUCAGGAAACUGGGGCUAAUACCGGAUAGGAGCUCCUGCUGCAUGGUGGGGGUUGGAAAGUUUCGGCGGUUGGGCAUGGACUCGCGGCUUAUCAGCUUGUUGGUGGGGUAGUGGCUUACCAAGGCUUUGACGGGUAGCCGGCCUGGGAGGGUGACCGGCCACAUUGGGACUGAGAUACGGCCCAGACUCCUACGGGAGGCAGCAGUGGGGAAUAUUGCACAAUGGGCGGAAGCCUGAUGCAGCAACGCCGCGUGCGGGAUGACGGCCUUCGGGUUGUAAACCGCUUUCGCCUGUGACGAAGCGUGAGUGACGGUAAUGGGUAAAGAAGCACCGGCUAACUACGUG
rnacentral:rRNA from 1 species